AGAGGUGGUCGGUACGUACGGCCGUCGGCGCAGACAAACUCGACGAGUUGCGCCGCCACACCACGACAAUGUAACCGAUCACCAUUCGAGUAGGUAACGGUCAGCCUGGGGCCGUCGCGAUCAUCUCUAGAUGGCGGCUUUUUGGUUGGCUCACUUUUCCACUCGCCAAAGUCGACCGUGCGACCGUCGGGAAGAAACAGGCGUCCUUGAUGGGUCACAUGUCCAGUGUGCACGUCGCCUCUAUAGACCACUCUGCCGCCGCGGUCCAUGAGUAGGCCAACGGCCGGCUUUCCAUGGGAAAAGUUGCCAAUAAAGGCGACCCUGCCGUCGAUGGCGCGCACGAUCCCAACUGCAGCAGGUGUGACGCUCGUGUCGGCAAUGCCCAUGCCGGCAGUUGGACGGUUCUUGUGCGCGACAACGCUCCACGCGCGCGUGCCGCGUCCAGGCACGCCGUGAUGCCAUGGGCCGUGGCGCACCACCAACGGCCCACCGCAUUUUGGGCGGCCGUCGUUAUAGUCGGGUCCGAUCAGAGUGCCGACUCUGUGCGGGCGACCUUGAGCCCAAUGGCCCUGGUAGAACCCGACGCAGCGAUCGCGCAGGCAGACAUCAUCGCUGUCGCUGCCGUAAGCAAGACUACACCAGGCGACGGCGUGUCCGUCGGGAUGGCCCCGUGUCCACUGUCCGCUGACACCUUGCGCCCGAAUGGUAUUAUAGAUGGUUCCGCUGGGCAAAAACGUUGUAGCAUCAACCGUGGCAUAGCCGUGGGCCACGUAGACGUCGCGCCGUUCACCAACAAUGAGGUCGCCACGAUGAUCGUUGUUGAGCGUGCGCCCGACGAGGCACGCCGGCGACCCAUCCAGGUGAGGUCCAAAGAAUCGAGGCCGGUGGACGGUGGCCACAGCAUAGGCCCACCGGUAGCCACGCACAGAGAUGACGUCGGGCCAGUGAUGGUGGCAUCCAGACAGUGUCGGCCUGACAAUGGCGCCCAACUUGCGGACCGAGUCGGGCAAGGGCAGCACACAGCCCUCGGUUGUGUUGGUCGAGUGGAGCAAGCGGUCCAGGCCGCGGUCGACGAGGGCCGCAAUAUCCAACCCGGCAACACUCUUGCCCAAAGCCGCGAUACAACGGGCACCGCAGAGCGGAAAAGUCGUCUCAUAGACAGUCUUCCACAGGCGCUCAUCCAAGGCAAGGUGGCGGAGGCGCCAAUCGACCACGCUCAACCUCGCCAGGUCGGCGGGCGCACACCAGGAGAGGACGGCCAUCACAUGCUCGUCGGCCAACAGGUCCCAUACGUUGAUGUCGGUCACUGUCGGACAUGCCAUAUCGUCUGUACGGCGCCUUUUAUUGGCACGAGCAUUGGUGUCGAUCGAGUCCAUGCGGGGGGAGUGGCCGCUAGUAUGCGGCCUUGGCGUCCUCGGUGCAUCCUUGGCGCAAGCGGGUCGACGCUGCACGACGCCUUUUGCACGUCAUGGAUUGGCUGUGAAUUCAAAAAAAAAAGGGACCAACCGACAAUCGACGACACUGCCAAAACCCGGAGAGGGAAAACAAAGGCGAAAAGGAUCGACCAAAAAGGGGGCCACUAAAAUGGUGUGUAGAUCGCUUUGGUCGCGCGGUCCCUCCUUUUUAUUGCGCGCCUUUGUUCCCUCUUGCCGACGGCCACCGCUUGCGCACAUUGACCGGCAACACUCGGCCCAGUGGUCACUUGUUGUUUCCAACAAACCAUUGCCCACAAAUAUUGAUCGAUGCUGUGGCGGCUGGAUCCGUGCCGACUAUAUGUAGGCACUCUGCGUCCGCGUACGACGAGCACAGAAAAAGGGCGACCCUUUUUGAUGUAUCCAAAAAAAAAGAGAAACUUUAUCAAAC
rnacentral:lncRNA from 1 species